rnacentral:rRNA from 1 species
AACGAACGCUGGCGGCAUGCCUAACACAUGCAAGUCGAACGAGACCUUCGGGUCUAGUGGCGCACGGGUGCGUAACGCGUGGGAACCUGCCCUUAGGUUCGGAAUAACUCCCCGAAAGGGGUGCUAAUACCGGAUAAUGUCUUCGGACCAAAGAUUUAUCGCCGUUGGAUGGGCCCGCGUUGGAUUAGCUAGUUGGUAGGGUAAAAGCCUACCAAGGCGAGGAUCCAUAGCUGGUCUGAGAGGAUGAUCAGCCACACUGGGACUGUGACACGGCCCAGACUCCUACGGGAGGCAGCAGUGGGGAAUAUUGGACAAUGGGCGAAAGCCUGAUCCAGCAAUGCCGCGUGAGUGAUGAAGGCCUUAGGGUUGUAAAGCUCUUUUACCCGGGAUGAUAAUGACAGUACCGGGAGAAUAAGCUCCGGCUAACUCCGUG